rnacentral:rRNA from 1 species
ACGAACGCUGGCGGCGUGCUUAACACAUGCAAGUCGAACGGAAAGGCCCUGCUUUUGUGGGGUGCUCGAGUGGCGAACGGGUGAGUAACACGUGAGUAACCUGCCCUUGACUUUGGGAUAACUUCAGGAAACUGGGGCUAAUACCGGAUAGGAGCUCCUGCUGCAUGGUGGGGGUUGGAAAGUUUCGGCGGUUGGGGAUGGACUCGCGGCUUAUCAGCUUGUUGGUGGGGUAGUGGCUUACCAAGGCUUUGACGGGUAGCCGGCCUGAGAGGGUGACCGGCGACAUUGGGACGGAGAUACGGCCCAGAGUCCUACGGGAGGCAGCAGUGGGGAAUAUUGCACAAUGGGCGGAAGCCUGAUGCAGCAACGCCGCGUGCGGGAUGACGGCCUUCGGGUUGUAAACCGCUUUCGCCUGUGACGAAGCGUGAGUGACGGUAAUGGGUAAAGAAGCACCGGCUAACUACGUG